rnacentral:tRNA from 1 species
CAUUAAGAAGCUAUGCAUCAGCACUAGCCUUUUAAGCUAGAUAUAGAGGACCUCAAACCCCCUCCUUAAUGA